rnacentral:lncRNA from 1 species
AGGCUGCACCCGGCACCUCUCCUGCCCACGCACCCUUCGGGCCCCAGUAGAGAGGGCACUCAGAGCCUCACUCAGACUGUGCCCCUCCACGCGGAGGAGCCUCCAUGCCAACGGCUACCCUGGGGGCAAGAUGCCUCCCCCUCACCCUUUCCUGGGACCUCGCCGAGGAUCUGGCCACUUAGGACUUUGGGAACGGAGGCAGGUGGACAGGAAGGCACCCAGGAGAGCAUCCCAAGCCAACUGUGUGAGGAGCAGAGUCCUGUCUUCAGCCCAGCACCAGGAUUAAAAGGCAUCAGGUCCCAGGAUGGACACACCUCUCCCCGCUCUUUCCGCAACAGAGACAGGAAGGUGGUAUUGGCAAACUUCUCCCAAAGACGUGGUGGCUCACCCAGGAGAGCAGCCCCGGGCAGGCGGGGUCCCAGGCCUGGAGAGGUCUGUAGAGGUUGGCAGGACCAGGGAUUCCCAAACGCGUCAAGCAGCAGAAGCCUCAUAGAAGAUCAAAGUCCGCUUGGAAGUCUCGUGCGGAAGUGGCAUUGUACCACCAGACCGUGUGUGCGUUUAAAAACAGUGCUUCCCAAUUACCGCAGAAGAUGAACUACGAGGCAGGUUUAAAACUGUCAAAGCAGUUUAGAUUUCUAAGCCACAAGUGAUAAAAUAUUUAAAUGUGUUUGGUAAGUUCGAACAUAGAACAUUUACUUGUUGUAAAGGCACCGUGAUGACAGCCCUGAGGCGGCUUUUAUGAACACAAACACAAAAAGCAAAGUUGUAAUCAUUUAAGUCUCAGCAUCCAAUUUAUUUCUGUGUUACCUUUGCUUGCUCAGGUUUGAGAAGAAUCUGGGUUUGCAAGGAUAAGUGGCUUAAAGAGCUCACCUGGAAAUCUCAGGGUACUCUUAGAUUCAAGAAUUUGAUUCAUUCAUCCACCCAACAAAUAGUUAUUGAGUGUCUAGUAGGUGUCAGGCAUUCUGCUGAGGUUUGAACAAUAAGGAGG